rnacentral:rRNA from 1 species
AGUGCGAUAGGGGAAUCCCAAGUGCGAGGGCAUAUUCGCCCUCGCUUUUGUUGACCGUAAGGUGGUCAACGAAUAAGAGCUGGGCAAGACCGGUGCCAGCCGCCGCGGUAAUACCGGCAGCUCGAGUGAUGUCCAAUAUUAUUGGGCCUAAAGCGUCCGUAGCUGGCCGCGCAAGUCCGUCGGGAAAUCCACCUGCCCAACAGGUGGGCGUCCGGCGGAAACUGUGUGGCUUGGAACCGGAAGGCUCAGAGGGUACGUCCGGGGUAGGAGUGAAAUCCCGUAAUCCCGGACGGACCACCGAUGGCGAAAGCACUCUGAGAAGACGGCUUCGACAGUGAGGGACGAAAGCUAGGGUCUCAAACCGGAUUAGAUACCCGGGUAGUCCUAGCUGUAAACGAUGCUCGUUAGGUGUGGCACCCACUACGAGUGGGUGCUGUGCCGCAGGGAAGCCGCUAAACGAGCCGCCUG